rnacentral:rRNA from 1 species
CCUACGGGCGGCAGCAGUGAGGAAUAUUGGUCAAUGGACGAGAGUCUGAACCAGCCAAGUAGCGUGAAGGAUGACUGCCCUAUGGGUUGUAAACUUCUUUUAUAAAGGAAUAAAACGAGGCACGUGUGCCUUUUUGCAUGUACUUUAUGAAUAAGGAUCGGCUAACUCCGUGCCAGCAGCCGCGGUAAUCAGGAGGAUCCGAGCGUUUUCCGGAUUUAUUGGGUUUAAAGGGAGCGUAGAUGGGUUGUUAAGUCAGUUGUUAAAGUUUGCGGCUCAACCGUAAAAUUGCAAUUGAUACUGGCAGUCUUGAGUACAGUUGAGGUAGGCGGAAUUCGUGGUGUAGCGGUGAAAUGCUUAGAUAUCACGAAGAACCCCGAUUGCGAAGGCAGCUUACUAAACUGUGACUGACAUUGAUGCUCGAAAGUGUGGGUAUCAAACAGGAUUAGAUACCCGGGUAGUC